rnacentral:rRNA from 1 species
AUUGAACGCUGGCGGCAUGCCUUACACAUGCAAGUCGAACGGUAACAGGUUAAGCUGACGAGUGGCGAACGGGUGAGUAAUGUAUCGGAACGUGCCCAGUCGUGGGGGAUAACUGCUCGAAAGAGCAGCUAAUACCGCAUACGACCUGAGGGUGAAAGCGGGGGAUCGCAAGACCUCGCGCGAUUGGAGCGGCCGAUAUCAGAUUAGGUAGUUGGUGAGGUAAAGGCUCACCAAGCCGACGAUCUGUAGCUGGUCUGAGAGGACGACCAGCCACACUGGGACGGAGACGCGGUCCAGACUCCUACGGGAGGCAGCAGUAGGGAAUCGUCGGCAAUGGGCGAAAGCUUGGCGGAGGAACGGCGCGUGAGUGAUGAAGGUCUUCGGAUCGUAAAACUCUGUUAUUAGGGAAGAAAAUAUGUGUAAGUAACUGUGCAAAGCUUGGCGGUACAUAAUCAGAGAGACAAGGCUAGCUACGUG